UGGAGUCUCAGCACAGACGCUGACCGCGGGUGUUCAUCACUAUUAGCUGUUAGCCGACUAGCCUUCAGCUGCCAUUGAGGACACAUUGAAGACUGACUGUGCAUUUGGAAAUGUGGUAGAUGCCGAGGCAAGAAUCCUAACAUGGCGGACAAAAAGGACUUCGGAAAACAUCAGUUUGGUUACUUCUGUCCCUAUCCUUUACUUCAUUUCCAGGUGGAAAGAAGGCAACAUGUGCACCGUGGGAUGAGGUAGUAGGUUGUAUAGUUUUAGGGUCACACCCACACUGGGAGAUAACUAUACAGCCUACUGUCUUUCUCAAAGUGAGAACGGAGCUGCGGAGUAUCAUCCUACGUUUCCUGAUGUUUAAUCUCAAUGGAAGCUUUGUCACGGUAUGUGUCUGCAAGCUGAAAUGUUUUUGAUUGAAAGAGACGGAAAUGCUUGUGCAGUGUGAGGUAGUAGAUUGUAUAGUUGUAGGGUAGUGAUUUUAUCCUGUGUAGCAGAUAACUAUACAAUCUAUUGCCUUCCCUGAGGAGCAGAAGAACACAGCAAAUGAGCAUCGAAUUAUUUAAGAAAAUGUGAUGCAUGAAAUUUUUUUAAUCAAGAUUGAUUUUUUUUCCUUGUCUAAAGUAUCUUUGUUUUUAACGAAUACAAUAAAUUAUUUGUAAAUGUA